CCUACGGGUGGCAGCAGUGGGGAAUAUUGGACAAUGGGCGAAAGCCUGAUCCAGCCAUGCCGCGUGUGUGAAGAAGGCCUUCGGGUUGUAAAGCACUUUCAGUGGGGAAGAAAGCCUUGGGGCUAAUACCCUCGAGGAAGGACAUCACCCACAGAAGAAGCACCGGCUAACUCCGUGCCAGCAGCCGCGGUAAUACGGAGGGUGCGAGCGUUAAUCGGAAUUACUGGGCGUAAAGCGCGCGUAGGCGGUCUGAUAAGCCGGUUGUGAAAGCCCCGGGCUCAACCUGGGAACGGCAUCCGGAACUGUCAGGCUAGAGUGCAGGAGAGGAAGGUAGAAUUCCCGGUGUAGCGGUGAAAUGCGUAGAGAUCGGGAGGAAUACCAGUGGCGAAGGCGGCCUUCUGGACUGACACUGACGCUGAGGUGCGAAAGCGGGGGUAGCAAACAGGAUUAGAUACCCUAGUAGUC
rnacentral:rRNA from 1 species